rnacentral:rRNA from 1 species
UACAUGGGGUGCAAACGUUGCUCGGAAUUAUUGGGCGUAAAGCGCGCGUAGGCGGUUAUCUAAGUCGGGUGUGAAAGCCCUCGGCUUAACUGUGGAAGUGCACCCGAAACUGGAUAGCUAGAGUACGAAAGAGGGUCGCGGAAUUCCCGGUGUAGAGGUGAAAUUCGUAGAUAUCGGGAGGAACACCGGUGGCGAAGGCGGCGACCUGGUCCUUUUACUGACGCUGAGGCGCGAAAGCGUGGGGAGCAAACAGG